AAAAACUCGCACGUCGAGUUUUUUGUUAUCGUCUCACUAAUAACUAGUAAUAAACAAUGGAUGAAAGUGGCUAUGAAGUUGACAGACCUAAAAGAUCUCAAUCUGAUUUGUUUUUCUUAAAGACUUGUCGAUUUUCAAAAUAGUUCAAAAACUCGCAUGUCGAUUUUAAUAAUAGUUCAAAAACUCGAAUGUUAAAGUUUUUGUUAUCAUCUCACUAAUAUCCAGUAAUAAAUCAUGGAUGAAAGUGGCUAUGAAGUUGAUAGACUUUAAAGAUCUUAAUCUGAUUUGUUUUUCUUAAAGACUUGUCGAUUUUCAAAAUAGUUCAAAAACUCGCACGUCGAUUUUAAUAAUAGUUCAAAAACUCGAAUGUCAAAGUUUUUUUAUCGUCUCACUAAUAUCUAGUAAUAAAUCAUGGAUGAAAAUGGCUAUGAAGUUGACAGACCUUAAAGAUCUCAAUCUGAUUUGUUUUUCUUAAAGACUUGUUGAUUUAAAAAAUAGUUCAAAAACUCGCAUGUCGAUUUUAAUAAUAGUUCAAAAAGAGGUUUUUUUUAUCGUCUCACUAAUAACCAGUAACAUGCCAAACUUAACAAAAGCUCGCGGGUCGAAAUUUUUGGGGAUUAAACCCUAAAGGAUUGUUUAAAAAUCAUGUUUUACUAACUCUAAAAGACACCGCCACACCUCUUUAACCCUCUUUAACCUGCCACACAACCAAACCAUAACCCUAGCUUUCAGAAAUGAAGUGAUACACUGAUGUCAGUCUUGCGUCAAAAACCCACAUCAUUCGUGUGAGACAUGACAUUGAAGUCAAUAUAAAAGUGCAACUAUGCUCUUACCGGCAGUUCCCCCCACACAUGAGGCCCUUUUGUUUUAAUUUUAUCCAAUCUCCUGUUAAAUGCAUCUGAAACCGACUUGAAUUCUGCUGUCAUACAGUUUUGAGAUUGUGCGUCAAAACCUGCACAUCACUUCUGAUACCGUCCCUCAACGCCCCCUUCAUCUCGUCUUGAAAGCCCCCAUACAGCUCUUCAUCUCGUCCUUGAACCCCCCCAUAUCACUUUUGAUCUCGUCCUUAAACGCCCACACAUCAAUCUUCACCACCCCCACAUCAGCUUUCGUCUCCAGGGCUAGCAGAGCAUUCAGAGACGACAGAUGAUUCAUUAAUUCGGCUUCCAAACUGAGGAUUCUUGUUGUGUAACCUGAACCGUAGAGUAGCUUCACCCAUAACGCGCUCUUCUUAAUUUCCUAUCUGAGUUGUUUCCCUUGCACAGGGUUAUUUUCUAAUCGAGCUAUCAAAUCUGGAGAAACUUGAGUACCAGCACCGUUCAGCUUGCCCACCACCUCUGUCACAAGCUUCCCUGCCACUUCCAGCCGCUCAAUUCCAUUCUUCAACUUCUCACAUUUGCCACACUAAGUCUUGCAAAUCUCCAGAGCUUUGGUUAAGUCCAUCAGCAUGUUGAAAGCGGAUGCGGUGCUCUCGUAGGUCGCCACCAUUUCGGGAUGAGAUGAGUGAAGCGGAAGCUCAAUGCCGAUGCUGAAGCGAUGCCGAUCCCGAAGCGAUGUUGAUGCCGAAGGAAAAAGGAAGCGAUGGUUUUUAUAGUCUAGGGUUUCUGGCUUUUGGGCAUUUGGUUGGCUUAUGCCCAAAACCAUGAGUGUAAGUCUUAAUUCAAAGAGAAAUUCGUUUGAAUGGUAUACGAACUUUUGCUCCUUAUAAACUUUGGUAUAUCAAGUUUGAAAAAUAUCAGAUUGGUGUUUAAUGUUUCCAUUUCGACCUAAGAUUAGUAUAUACAGCCAUUCAGAUUAUUAAUUUACUCUCAGACCAAAAAAAACAAACCAAUUUACCCUUAAAUUAUCUUUUUUUUCUUAGUUUUUCUUCUUUGUUUUCAUAUUCCAAUUUUUUAAAAAUUUUUUUAAAUAUUUUUAGGAACGUAGAGAAAAAAGUCAUCGUCACUUUCUAAUAAUCAGUUCUUUAUCUCAAUCAUCCUUGAAUUGAAUGUCAAUGACAACAACAAGAACUUCGAGUGUCAACGGAAACAACAAGGAUUAAACUUCUGUAUGUUUCCCCUCUUCAAUUUUCUUCAAGUUUAUAAAGGUUAACCUAAAUCAUCAAAUUCCAAAAUCUCUUCUAAUAUUUCUUGAAUAUGAAAACAAAUUAAAAAAAACUAAGAAAAAAAAAACUUAAAGGGUAAAUUGGUCAUCUUAAUGGCUCUA
rnacentral:lncRNA from 1 species